rnacentral:rRNA from 1 species
AUCAGGUAGGGCUACCCGCUGAACUUAAGCAUAUCAAUAAGCGGAGGAAAAGAAACUAACAAGGAUUCCCCUAGUAACGGCGAGUGAAGCGGGAAGAGCUCAAAUUUAAAAUCUGGCAGUCUACGAUUGUCCGAAUUGUAAUCUCGAGAAGUGUUUUCCGCGUUGGCCUGUGCACAAGUCCCUUGGAACAGGGCGUCAUAGAGGGUGAGAAUCCCGUCCUUGGCACAGAUACCCAAUGCUUUGUGAUACACUCUCAAUGAGUCGAGUUGUUUGGGAAUGCAGCUCAAAAUGGGAGGUAAAUUCCUUCUAAAGCUAAAUACUGGCGAGAGACCGAUAGCGAACAAGUACCGUGAGGGAAAGAUGAAAAGCACUUUGGAAAGAGAGUUAACAGUACGUGAAAUUGUUGGAAGGGAAACGCUUGAAGUCAGACUUGCUGUUCGG